UACGACAACAAAGAGAGAUGGUGAAGCAAGCCAGCAGGCAAAACUUCAGGUGCCUCCAAGCUCUGAAGCAACAUCCAGGCUCUGCAGGAGCAAUGCCCACUGUCAGGACAGAACCACAGGUGGAUAACUCUGUCCCCUCGCCAGAGAAAUUGAAAUUGAGAAAAACAAAUACCAAUCCAGACAAUUAUCAAGUGGGGCGAACAAUGGUUUCCCUGAAAGAGCAGGGCCAACAGUUUCUAGAGGGCCUGUUGCAUGAGGAAGUGUUGCAAAGAGUUACUCUACUGCAGAGCUGGUUCCGCACUAUGCUCUGAAGAAGGCACUUCCUGAACUUGAAGCAGGCAGCUGUGGUCAUACAGGCAGCCUGAUGGAGUUGUACUGGACAGUUGAAGGGGAGGAGGCUUGAUGGAGCUGGUCUUUCAACAGAGCUGAGCUGAUGGAAUAACUCCUGCUUCCAAUUUCUCCUACUGAGGCAGCUUGCUGGAAUGCUGCUGCCAAGUGACAGUUGAGGGGGGAAAGUCUCUGCAGCUCAGGCCAUUGUGGACAUCAUUGACAAGUCCGAUGAUUUUCUGGAGCCCUCCAACAUACUGAGGAUGUCCAUGGAGACCAUUUAUAAUCUCAGAAAACAACUAAUAUCCAGGGGACUUUUUAUGCAACUUAUGAAAUGAUGGAAUUUAACGAGGAUGACAAUGAGGAUCUCAAGGAGAUUUUUGUUUUGAUGCUGGCCUCCUAUUGGAGGCCCAUCCCUGACAACAUUGUCAAGCAUAUUUGAACUGGACACUGUGAGAACAAUCAUCCCUCCUGAGCUGUCCUGGCUAUGCCCCCAAACCAGUGAAGAAGUACUGCUGAUAGAAGAUCCUGAACAAAAGGAAUCAAAAUGCUUUCUGGACAGCAAGGGAGGGAGGGAACAUUUUUGUUUCUUUGUGUAUGUUUCUUGAACAGUUUUGUUGUUGUUGUUAGAUAUAUUGUAUUUUUAAUUUUUAAAUUCAUCAAUAAAGUCCAUU